rnacentral:tRNA from 1 species
GGGGCGUUAGCUCAGUUGGUAGAGCACCGGGCUUUUAACCUGAUGGUCGAUGGUUCGAAUCCAUCACGCCCCACCA